CCUACGGGAGGCAGCAGUAGGGAAUUUUCGUCAAUGGGCGCAAGCCUGAACGAGCAAUGCCGCGUGAACGAGGAAGGUCUUCGGAUCGUAAAGUUCUGUUGAAGGGGAAAAAGAGCGGAGAGAGGAAAUGGUCUCCGAUUGAUAUUACCCUUCGAGGAAGUCACGGCUAACUACGUCCCAGCAGCCGCGGUAAUACGAAGGUGGCGAGCGUUAUCCGGAAUGAUUGGGCGUAAAGGGGGCGUAGGCGGCCUGAUAAGUCUGGAGUGAAAGGGACAGGCUCAACCGGUACAGGCUCUGGAAACUGGGGGCUAGAGAGCAGGAGAGGGCGGUGUAACGUCAUGUGUAGCGGUAAAAUGCGUAGAUAUAUGGAAGAACCCCGAUUGCGAAGGCAGCAUACCGGCUCCACACUGACGCUGAGGCACGAAAGCGUGGGUAUCGAACAGGAUUAGAUACCCUGGUAGUC
rnacentral:rRNA from 1 species